rnacentral:rRNA from 1 species
UACGUAGGUGGCAAGCGUUGUCCGGAUUUACUGGGCGUAAAGAGCGCGCAGGCGGUCGUUCAAGUCGCGUGUGAAAGCCCCCGGCUCAACUGGGGAGGGUCACGCGAUACUGAUCGACUCGAAGGCAGGAGAGGGUAGUGGAAUUCCCGGUGUAGCGGUGAAAUGCGUAGAUAUCAGGAGGAACACCGGUGGUGCAGACGGCUCUCUGGACCGUAACUGACGCUGAGACACGAAAGCGUGGGUAGCAAACAGG